UACGUAGGGUGCAAGCGUUGUCCGGAUUUAUUGGGCGUAAAGAGCGUGUAGGCGGCUAGGUAGGUCCGUUGUGAAAACUCGAGGCUCAACCUCGAGCUGUCGAUGGAAACCAUCUAGCUAGAGUCCGGAAGAGGAGAGUGGAAUUCCUGGUGUAGCGGUGAAAUGCGCAGACAUCAGGAGGAACACCGAUGGCGAAAGGCAGGUCUCUGGGCCACUACUGACGCUGAGAAGCGAAAGCAUGGGGAGCGAACAGG
rnacentral:rRNA from 1 species